GUCAUUCAGCACAGGAAUCGAGAUAUUCCCCGUGUAAAUUUCAACACAACCUGGGAUGAAUACAAACGAGGUUUUGGGGAUGUUAAUGGAAAUUAUUGGCUUGGAAAUGAGGUCAUUCAUAAAUUAACCACUACCUUCCAAAACGAUCUGUACCUAAAAAUGAAAAGUACAAAUAACAAGAACUUUGAAGUAAAGUACGACCAGUUCUCCAUCUCUUCUGAGAAUGAUAGCUAUAGGUUGUCUUUAGGCACCAAAAUAGGAAACAUAGAUGACGCCUUUAGAGGUUACAAUGUAGUAAAUCAGACCUUUUCCACAUUUGACCACGACAACAGACACGGAUGUGG